rnacentral:rRNA from 1 species
CCUACGGGCGACAGCAGUAGGGAAUCUUCCACAAUGGGCGAAAGCCUGAUGGAGCAACGCCGCGUGGGUGAAGAAGGUCUUCGGAUCGUAAAACCCUGUUGUUAGAGAAGAAAGUGCGUGAGAGUAACUGUUCACGUUUCGACGGUAUCUAACCAGAAAGCCACGGCUAACUACGUGCCAGCAGCCGCGGUAAUACGUAGGUGGCAAGCGUUAUCCGGAUUUAUUGGGCGUAAAGGGAACGCAGGCGGUCUUUUAAGUCUGAUGUGAAAGCCCUCGGCUUAACCGGAGUAGUGCAUUGGAAACUGGGAGACUUGAGUGCAGAAGAGGAGAGUGGAACUCCAUGUGUAGCGGUGAAAUGCGUAGAUAUAUGGAAGAACACCAGUGGCGAAAGCGGCUCUCUGGGCUGUAACUGACGCUGAGGUUCGAAAGCGUGGGUAGCAAACAGGAUUAGAUACCCGUGUAGUC